GAUUAAAAUAACAAGGGUGAUGACUAUUUAAAAAAACGACCACAAUAUAAAGUGCGUUACUUAGCACCAUCAUAUCAUAAUAUUGACUUGAAAAUCAUUUGGUAUUAUGUAAAAAUUUAUAACUGUAAACAAAAAAAACUGCAUACUUCCUCGUUGUUGGUGAAAAAUUGGGAAGGUAGAGGGGAAAUUUAAUGUAUAUCUAAU